CCUCGCGUCACCUGGGGGAGAGGAAGAGAAGAGGAGCGGGUGAGAAAAGGCUCGCGAUGACGUCAUAAACUUCAGAAAACCUCUCGUCUUCAUGUCUGUGAGCAAAGCCAAAAAAAAAUCUGAUAGUGAUUCGUGUUGCGAGCACGCGCACGCCCUGGCCUGUUGAAGAGAGCGACAUCGGACACACUCCGAGAGGAAGAAGGUGAAGAGUGAAGGCUGGAGUAACGUGAACAGAUCUACAUCAACAGCUUAAAGAUGGAUGAAGUUCCUGAGAAACUCAAGAACUUUGAGGAUGGACUUGGACUGUGAUUAAUAUCAAAAGUCUGCUACAAUGAGCUCAUGACAGCAGUUUGCAUGAAAAGUUCUGCAUUUAAGCGUCCAUCCCUGAACAGAUCACCUCAGCAAUGAUGGAACUGUAAUAAAUGGAUAUUGGUGAUGAGGAUGAGGAUGGGUUCCCUUUUGAGUCUGGUUCCUCUUAAGGUUUCUUCUUUAUGAAGUCUCAGGAAGUUUUUCCUUCACCACAGUCGCCACUGGGUCGUUUAUUAGAGAUAAACUUACACUUAUAAGGAAGAAACUUACAGGCACUAAACUUAUAAACUCAAACUUUAUAACCACUUGAUCUCUGUGAAUCUGCUUUGAGAUGUUAAAAGCGCUUGAGGAUCGUCCGAUAAAGUUCAUAACAUGAUAAUCCUGGUGUGGGUGUGAGGUGCUCCAGAACAUCUGAUCACAUGCACAUUAUCAACUUGUGCUUGUUAAUAUCAUAAACAGCAGAUACACUAAUUCCUGCUUCACCCACCCUGAGGCAUCCUGAGGUUGCUCCAGCUCCAUUCGUGUCCCACCUCAUGAAGAUUAUGGAUACCGAAAGAAAGAAAUACAGAAAGGCAUAGAUACCGACACCGCAAACAUCCUGAACCAUCUAGAUACGUACCAGCGCCAUUUGGAUCUCACAUCAUGUGGAGUUCGGAUUUUGGACCUCUUCGAAUUUGUAAAGGCUCUAGCAUGGAGAAGCUGGUGUUGGAUCUGUGAUGAUCUCAAAUGUUGAGCUAUUUUAUGAGUUGCUCAGUAGCUCCUGGUUCCACAACAUCAGCUGAAUGUAUAAGACUUUAGAAAGGACAUUACUUUUCCAUACUUUCUCCAUCGUCAUGGAGCUGGCUUUGUGCACAGGAGCAUUGUCAUGCAGGAACAGGUUCAGGCCUCCUUGUUGAAGGUCCAAAUUUGUGCUAAAAUUUUGGGGAAGGACCAAUCCGUUCUUAUCCUUUCUAUUUUCUUUAGCUGAAUGCAUGGAGACCUUUAUGGAUAUUUGGAGCAUGAAGCAGAUUACACCCUACUGUGUGUGUGUGUGUGUGUGUGUGUGUGUGAGAGAGAGAGAGAAAUGUCUUUUUGUGCCAUUUUUUGUUCAUGGUGAGUGUUUUUAGCAAGACCUGCUGAUGUGCAUUCGACUGCAGGUCACACCUGGCUGCUAAGAUCCAAACACACCUGUGAUGAUGGACAUAUGGACAAAGCGUGCAAACAGCAACGUUGGGUUUGUGUGUUGGGAGUGUGUGUGUGUGUGUGUGUGUGUGUUUGUGCGUGUGUGAGAGGGCGAGAGAGAGUUUGUUAUUUCCCUCUGAGCUGUAACGGAAUCGGUGUUCCACUGACUCAUCAGGAUUUGCAUCAGCGCGGGUUGGUGAACAACAGCGGAUAUGUGUGAUGGACAGAAUUUUGAAAGAGAAAAUACAGCCAGAAAUACGUCUUCUGCCUUUCCAUUACAACAAACAGCUAAGUGUCUCUUUAUUAGCCAGCUGCACUCACUCACACACACACACACACACACACACACACACACACAC